AUUGAACGCUGGCGGCAGGCCUAACACAUGCAAGUCGAGCGAGCGGCGGACGGGUGAGUAAUGUAUGGGGAUCUGCCCGAUAGAGGGGGAUAACUACUGGAAACGGUGGCUAAUACCGAAUACUCUCGGCUGAACCCAUAUGGGUUUAGCUAGUAGGUGGGGUAAAGGCUCACCUAGGCGACGAUCUCUAGCUGGUCUGAGAGGAUGAUCAGCCACACUGGAACUGAGACACGGUCCAGACUCCUACGUGAGGCAGCAGUGGGGAAUAUUGCACAAUGGGCGCAAGCCUGAUGCAGCCAUGCCGCGUGUAUGAAGAAGGCCUUAGGGUUGUAAAGUACUUUCAGCGGGGAGGCGUUACCCGCAGAAGAAGCACCGGCUAACUCCGUGCCAGCCGCCGCGGUAAUAC
rnacentral:rRNA from 1 species